rnacentral:rRNA from 1 species
GUGUCAGCAGCCGCGGUAAUACGUAGGGUGCAAGCAUUAAUCGGAUUUAUUGGGCGUAAAGGGCGCGUAGGCGGAAAUGCCAGUCAGAUGUGAAAUCCCGGGGCUCAACCCCGGAACAGCAUUUGAAACUACAUUUCUAGAGGGUAGGCGGAGAAAACGGAAUUCCACAAGUAGCGGUGAAAUGCGUAGAUAUGUGGAAGAACACCAGUGGCGAAGGCGGUUUUCUAGCUUAUACCUGACGCUGAGGCGCGAAAGCAAGGGGAGCAAACAGGAUUAGAUACCCUGGUAGUCCUUGCCGUAAACUAUGUAUACUUGGUGUAGCUGGAAUCAACCCUGGCUGUGCCGGAGCUAACGCGUUAAGUAUACCGCCUGGGGAGUACAGUCGCAAGGCUGAA